rnacentral:rRNA from 1 species
UACGGGGGGGGGCAAGCGUUGUUCGGAAUUACUGGGCGUAAAGGGCUCGUAGGCGGCCAACUAAGUCAUACGUGAAAUCCCUCGGCUUAACCGGGGAACUGCGUCUGAUACUGGAUGGCUUGAGUUCGGGAGAGGGAUGCGGAAUUCCAGGUGUAGCGGUGAAAUGCGUAGAUAUCUGGAGGAACACCGGUGGCGAAGGCGGCGACCUGGUCCAUUACUGACGCUGAGGCGCGACAGCGUGGGGAGCAAACGGG